UUCACUAGUUGUGUUUGUGCGGGGUUGAAGCGGACUCGCGAUGCCGCAGUACUGCGCGGCGUAUGGAUGCUACAGCACUUUCGGUCGCGAUGAGGUAUCUUUUCAUAAGUUUCCUCGGGAUCAGAAGAUGGCUGCAGAAUGGGUCACUGCAGUUAAAAGAAAAGACUUCAAACCUACGAGAGCAAGUGUGCUGUGCUCCAAGCACUUUCGUGACAGCGACUACGUACGAAGCCCGUCUCUGAUGCAGUCGCUGGGAUUGACGAUCAAGUCUGUGCGACUGAACAGCGACGCAGUUCCUUCUGUGUUUCCGCACCUGAGGGGGCCCUCGCCGCCACCACGACUUGCCUUCACGAAAAGAAGAAAAACUGAGAUUCUUGCAGAAUUGCUGGGCAGUGAAAAUGGUGAAAUGGAAAUGCUCGGCCCCAGUUCAAGUCAGAACUCUUCACCUGAUAAUCCAGCAGAUGAUCAUCCACAGGAGAUACAAGGUGUGAGCACUUCCAAUCCCCAAACUUCUGACCAGUGUGGGCAAGCAGCUGUGCAGCCAACAACACGCAGCAAGGGUGUGCAGGCAGAUGUAAAGAAAAGCACAGCUUCGCACUCCACCCAAACAAAGCCUCCGACCAUUUAAAUAGGUAUACAGGUUGGUGGACCAGUGUUGAUAGAUGCAAGUACACAGGUCGAAAUGAGCAUACAGGAAGAGCCCAGAUGGCCUCUCUUGUAACGACCCAGAUUACGGUCCUGAUUACUCCCCCUUGGACGACCUUGAUGAACAGCCACAAGAACACCCCAAAACGCAAACAUCUGGCCAAGAAAGGAGAAUUUUCUUUGUUCAAGAAAAGUGCCUGCAUGACCUUCUGAAUGUGUGCGAGGGAACGUUAGUGGAGGUUAACGGCCAGUGCCAGUCAGGCCACGCACUCUGCUGGCGCCACCAGGAUGUCGAGUAACAGCAGCCAGUGCUCAACUUGCAGCUUUGUGCAGCAGUGCUGUUUUCGGGCAACAACGCAACAGUUGCACUGCAAAUGCUUUCGAUGAUGGGGGUACAAGUUGUGAGUGAGCGGACAUUUUUCACAAUUCAGCAGAUACAUCUGUGGCCUGCUGUUGGCAAAGUAAGCAAGGCAGUUGAGGAU
rnacentral:misc_RNA from 1 species